rnacentral:lncRNA from 1 species
CCUAAACCCUAAACCCUAAAUCUUAAAUUCUAAACCAUAUACCCUAAAUUCUAAAUCCAAAUCCAAACUCAUAAACCCAAACUCCUAAACCCAAACCCUAUACCCUAAACCCUAAUCAUAGACCUUAAACCCAAAUUAUAUACCUUAAACCCAAAAACUAGACUAUAAACCUAAACUCUAUACCCUAAACCCAAGUCCUAGACCCUAAACCCAAACCAUAAAC